CUGAGGUCUUGGGAGGACAGGCUGACUGGUUUCUGGUGUCUGCAGUGGUCUUACUGGUCUUUGCAAAUGUAUGCUCUUCUCUUCACAUUUGACAGUUCAUGGCAAAUAAACUAUGGUUUAAUAUUGACACAAACAUCUGUUCACAGCCCCAGAGGAUUGAGAUGAGACAUGACUCUGCUCUCUGGGACCUCAGACUGUACCUUGGUGUAAAAGAAGAGGAACUUUUUAAAGAUUGCCUGGUGGGCUGCUGGGUGGAAGACAUGGAACACAUCCUGAAGAUCUUCAUGUACCAUGAAGUGGAAGCAGAGGAUCCAGUGGAAGCCUCCAUCCUUCUUGAAGGCAGGGGUGUAGUGGCAUGUGUGCUCCUCAUUGGGACUUAUUUAAGCACUUAAGUUUGACUACGCUCAACCACUCCCCUACACAUUUGAAGUCUUGCAGAACUGUCUUUAAAAGCAAGGUACUAAUAGACUUAUGUAUUGUUACUGUUGUCAAUCAGAUAUGUCUCAUGUCAUAC
rnacentral:lncRNA from 1 species